UACGGGGGGGGCAAGCGUUGUUCGGAAUUACUGGGCGUAAAGGGCUCGUAGGCGGCCAACUAAGUCAGACGUGAAAUCCCUCGGCUUAACCGGGGAACUGCGUCUGAUACUGGAUGGCUUGAGAUUGGGAGAGGGAUGCAGAAUUCCAGGUGUAGCGGUGAAAUGCGUAGAUAUCUGGAGGAAUACCGGUGGCGAAGGCGGCAUCCUGGACCGGCAUUGACGCUGAGGAGCGAAAGCUAGGGGAGCAAACGGG
rnacentral:rRNA from 1 species